CGUAGGGUGCGAGCGUUAAUCGGAAUUACUGGGCGUAAAGCGUGCGCAGGCGGUUUUGUAAGACAGAUGUGAAACCCCCGGGCUCAACCUGGGACCUGCAUUUGUGACUGCAAGGCUAGAGUACGGUAGAGGGGGAUGGAAUUCCGCGUGUAGCAGUGAAAUGCGUAGAUAUGCGGAGGAACACCGAUGGCGAAGGCAAUCCCCUGGACCUGUACUGACGCUCAUGCACGAAAGCGUGGGGAGCAAACAGGAUUAGAUACCCUGGUAGUCCACGCCCUAAACGAUGUCAACUGGUUGUUGGGUCUUUACUGACUCAGUAACGAAGCUAACGCGUGAAGUUGACCGCCUGGGGAGUACGGCCGCAAGGUUG
rnacentral:rRNA from 1 species